UACGUAGGUGGCAAGCGUUGUCCGGAUUUAUUGGGUUUAAAGGGUGCGUAGGUGGUCAAUUAAGUCAGUGCUGAAAUAUCCCGGCUUAACCGGGAGGGUGGCAUUGAUACUGAUUGACUUGAGUGGAGUUGAGGUAGGCGGAAUUGACGGUGUAGCGGUGAAAUGCUUAGAUAUCGUCAAGAACACCGAUAGCGAAGGCAGCUUACCAAGCUCUAACUGACACUGAUGCACGAAAGUGUGGGGAUCAAAC
rnacentral:rRNA from 1 species